UGCCAGGUGUUUUUCUGGGUAAUAUGGAGAUUUGAAGAGGUAGAGGGCACAGUCUCAGCCCUGGAGAAAUUCACAGCAUAGUGGAAGAGGAAUGACAGGAACCCAAAAGAUAAAUAACAAUUGGAGCAUGCAUGUGCUGCUAUGUGAUAAAUGGCAACAGCAUGGGUCAAUAAUAUUAUUACGAGGUUCACAUACAUAUCUCUUAAUAAUAUGACAGGCAUCCCCCUUCCUUAGGAUAUGUUAUCACUGGGGGAGAACAGGGAAGGUAGGAACUUAAUUGCUCAGAGUAAUUUGGAUGUUUGCACAUAAAUGCAUAAUGAUAUUAUUGAUCCUGGAUGCAAACUAUCAGCAGAAGCAGUUGUGAAACCUGAUGGGAGUUUGCACCUGGCAGCCUGGUUUCUCUAUUCAUCAAGAAGCCAUGGAAAGAACCCAAAAGUACCUAGAGCUCUCAGGAUGUGGCAGUGACCUGAGGUGCUUACCAAAUAGAAUUAACAGGGCUAGAAGAUCAAGAAAGUUUGAGUGACAGUAUAUAGCAGCAUCAAAUAGGAAGGAGAUUGCUCCUUUUAUCUCUAGCCAUCAAAGUGCUUCACAAAUCAAUAUGAGAAGCUGCACUUUAUAAGUUACACCAUCAUGGGAGAUUGUGAAUCAGCAUGAAGCAAAGGAAAAAAGGAAAUCUAGUCAUUGUUAAAUUCGAGAGCUAUUAUUUGGCCCCCAAAUAAUUGUCCACAUUAAAACAUUGAAUAUUCUGUUUAUUUACCACGGUCAUAAGAACGAUGUCAGGUUUCUUAAAAGUUUUGAUUAAAGUGGGUUUUUUUUAAAGUUUUGAUUAAAAUGUUUUUAAAACAGUGAAAAUAACAACAUUUCCCAGAAAAGAAUGAGUUUCUUCCUAUUAGCUGUUGAAUUGUUUGCUCCCAUAACUGAAUAGUAACAGCACAUCAAAGCCGCCAGAGGUAAUUAAAUGAUUUGUGAACAUAGGUUAACAAAUUAGUGCAUCAUGAUGUGUAAUUGUGUAAUUAGGAUAAAAAUGCUAGUCUUACCUAAAAGAUUGACAAGAUAGUAAAACAAGAAGGAACAGGUAAAAAGCAUCACGCAAAAUAUUAGAAUGUAUAUGUUAGUGUCAUUUUUCUGCUUAAGACUUGAGAGGGGCUAUGAGUGUCUUCUAGAUCUUACACAUCCAAGUUAUACACACUGGUUCAACUACAUUCAGUUAAGAGAAGAACAAAAACUCAAAUAACCAUGGAUUCUUUAUGUUUUCAGGGUGAAUGGGGAGUUGUCCACAUGACCUCAAAUAACUGAACUGCUGGUAGUUUUCAACCACCAGCAUCCCAGGCCUGUGAAAGCACCUAAUAGAAAGUUUCUUUGAAUUCCCCUUUAGCUCAUGUAGGAACUAGAUUUAAAAAGAAAAAAAAACCUCAGGAAAUAAGGAGUAUUCAUCUAUAAUUCUUAUUAAGCAUUUUCUACUUAUCAUCCAUUGAUUCAAUACAUAUUUACAAGACACCUACCUUAUGCCACACAAAGCACUAGAUUUUUUGAGGGACGUGAAGAGGCAUAAAACAUAGAUCUUCUCUCGAAGCGUUUUCAUUUUAAUUAGAGAAAUAAAGGUUAUAAGGCUAUAAACAUUAGGUGGUAGAGACAAAGUGCUGUAGGAUUUGAAGAGAGGGACUGAUAACUUCCGCCUAGGGAAAUCAUUUGCCAUGUCAAGGUCUUGGUCUUGACUGAUGGGUCGUGAUGGGGGUGAAAGGCUUUGCAGACAGAGAAAAUGGCCUGUACAAAGGCACAUAUAAUUUAUUAUUUAUUCUGCCACCAGUUGGGACUUUUAAUCCUAAUUAGAUCCCAGAAAAAUAGCCAAUUCUGUGUUUAUUUCUAUUGGCAAUGGAAGCAUCAGACAGCUGAAAAAAUUUGCUCUCACAACAGCCAGUAAGUUAGUGACACAGCAGGGGUUCAGAGGCGCCAGAAUCCUUUUAAUCUUCAGUGAUAAUUUAAACAACUGAGCCCCCCAAUUAUAUACAAAUCUUGUAUUCGAAUGGAUUUGGAAAAGUAGCCCCGUGAAAUGCAUAUAACAUUCUUUCAAGUCUCCAAGCAACGCUUGCGAUAUUGUAGGACACUUUUGGUCCCAGUUAAUAGCUCUUGGGAACAGGGAAGGUGCUCCCUUACCCCUUCGUUGGUUCCCACACCGCUAAUAUCCUCCCUGAAGCCUUGGGAAACAGCUUCAAAUGGCUGGCUAAACACAAAGUGAGGAUGUGUUGAAGGAAGUUUCCUACUUUCUCUAUUAGUUGCAAGAAUUGCCAACAAUUGUUGGGACAUGUGUAUGUAAAUGUUAUAGCAAAGAUCAAACUCUGGUUAUUAAUCCAAGUCACGGCAAACAGGAAGAAACUAUUAGCAAAGAGGAGAGAUUUCUUUUCAGGCUUUUGCUCUGAAGGCUAAAAUUUGUUUAAUUAAAUGAGACCUUCUGCCCAUUACUGACACUAGGACCUUUCACUUCAUACCAGGGACCCCACGGCAAGUGAGCCGUUAACACUCAGUCUCAAAGCCUACACCUACCAUCAUUUCAGCUACCUUGUUUAGUCAUUCACACCUUGCCUUCUGGCCACUGUUGUUCAUCUCUUCAGCCUGAUAUCAUUAGCCAGUUUUCUUUUUAACUUUUACAUUAAAAAAUAUGUAGGCACAGGGACUGGCCCCGCGGCUGAGUGGUUAAGUUUGCGUGCUCUGCUUCGGCAGCCCAGGGGUUCGUCAGUUGAGAUCCUGGAAGCAGACAUGGCACUGCUCAUUAAGCCACUCUGAGGCAGCAUCCCACAUGCCACAACUAGAAGGACCCAAAACUAAAAAUUCACAACUAUGUACCAGGGGGCUUUGGAG
rnacentral:lncRNA from 1 species